rnacentral:rRNA from 1 species
UUCCUGGUGUAGCGGUGAAAUGCGCAGAUAUCAGGAGGAACACCGGUGGCGAAGGCGGGUCUCUGGGCCGUAACUGACGCUGAGGAGCGAAAGCGUGGGGAGCGAACAGGAUUAGAUACCCUGGUAGUCCACGCCGUAAACGUUGGGCGCUAGGUGUGGGGCUCUUUCCACGAGUUCCGUGCCGCAGCAAACGCAUUAAGCGCCCCGCCUGGGGAGUACGGCCGCAAGGCUAAAACUCAAAGGAAUUGACGGGGGCCCGCACAAGCGGCGGAGCAUGCGGAUUAAUUCGAUGCAACGCGAAGAACCUUACCAAGGCUUGACAUGGGCGGUAAUCCGGCAGAGAUGUCGGGUCCGUAAGGGCCGUUCACAGGUGGUGCAUGGUUGUCGUCAGCUCGUGUCGUGAGAUGUUGGGUUAAGUCCCGCAACGAGCGCAACCCUCGUUCCAUGUUGCCAGCACGUUAUGGUGGGGACUCAUGGGAGACUGCCGGGGUCAACUCGGAGGAAGGUGGGGAUGACGUCAAAUCAUCAUGCCCCUUAUGUCUUGGGCUUCACGCAUGCUACAAUGGCCAGUACAAAGGGCUGCGAGACCGUAAGGUGGAGCGAAUCCCAAAAAGCUGGUCUCAGUUCGGAUCGGGGUCUGCAACUCGACCCCGUGAAGUCGGAGUCGCUAGUAAUCGCAGAUCAGCAACGCUGCGGUGAAUACGUUCCCGGGCCUUGUACACACCGCCCGUCACGUCACGAAAGUCGGUAACACCCGAAGCCGGUGGCCUAACCCGUGAGGGAGGGGACUGUCGAAGGUGGGACUGGCGAUUGGGACGAAGUCGUAACAAGGUA